UACGUAGGGGGCAAGCGUUAUCCGGAUUUACUGGGUGUAAAGGGAGCGUAGACGGCAGCGCAAGUCUGGAGUGAAAUGCCGGGGCCCAACCCCGGAACUGCUCUGGAAACUGUGAAGCUGGAGUGCAGGAGAGGUAAGCGGAAUUCCUGGUGUAGCGGUGAAAUGCGUAGAUAUCAGGAGGAACACCGGCGGCGAAGGCAGCUUACCAGACUGAGUCUGACGCUGAUGCACGAGAGCAUGGGUAGCGAACAGG
rnacentral:rRNA from 1 species